UGAGCCAUUAGCUCAGUCGGUAGAGCAUCUGACUUUUAAUCAGAGGGUCGAAGGUUCAAGUCCUUCAUGGCUCAUCC
rnacentral:tRNA from 1 species